GGCUUUUAGAUUAUAAUUUAAGGUCUUGCCUGCCCAGUGAUUUUUAACGGCCGCAGUAUUUUGACUGUGCAAAGGUAGCAUAAUCAUUUGCUCUUUAAUUGGGAGCUGGUAUGAAUGGUAGGAUGAAAGAUUUACUUUCUUUAUUGUAGUUUAUUUAAUUUAACUUUCGAGUUAAAAGGCUUGGAUUUUUACAUAGGACGAGAAGACCCUAUAGAAUUUUAUAUUACUUGAGUGUUGAGUUGAAUUGUAAUUUAAUAUUUAACAGAUAUUUUAUUGGGGCGAUUGAAUAGAUGACUUAACCUAUUUUUUUAAUAUUCAAUAAUUUUUGUUUUAUUUUUGAUCCGAUUAUAUUUCGAUUAAAAGAUUAAAUUACCUUAGGGAUAACAGCGUAAUUUCUUUGGAGAGUUCUUAUCGAUAAAGGAGUUUGCGACCUCGAUGUUGGAUUAAAAUAAGUAUUGAUCGUAGGAGUUCAAUUACUAAGUCUGUUCGACUUUUAAAAUUUUACA
rnacentral:rRNA from 1 species